rnacentral:rRNA from 1 species
AUUGAACGCUGGCGGCAUGCUUUACACAUGCAAGUCGAACGGUAACAGGCCGCAAGGUGCUGACGAGUGGCGAACGGGUGCGUAAUGCAUCGGAACGUGCCCAGUCGUGGGGGAUAACUACUCGCAAGAGUAGCUAAUACCGCAUACGAUCUAUGGAUGAAAGCGGGGGACCGUAAGGCCUCGCGCGAUUGGAGCGGCCGAUGUCAGAUUAGGUAGUUGGUGGGGUAAAGGCUCACCAAGCCAACGAUCUGUAGCUGGUCUGAGAGGACGACCCGCCACACUGGGACUGAGACACGGCCCAGACUCCUACGGGAGGCAGCAGUGGGGAAUUUUGGACAAUGGGCGCAAGCCUGAUCCAGCAAUGCCGCGUGCAGGAAGAAGGCCUUCGGGUUGUAAACUGCUUUUGUACGGAACGAAACGGCUCUGGUUAAUACCCGGGGCUAAUGACGGUACCGUAAGAAUAAGCACCGGCUAACUACGUG